GCGGUCAUAGUGUAGUGGCUAUCACGUCUCUUUCCCAUAUCAACAUCGCUCAUGUGAUUGUAUGGUGACAAGAGGAGGGCGCGGGUUCGAACCCCGCUGGUCGCA